rnacentral:lncRNA from 1 species
AUAAAUUGACUUUGAACCUAUUUUGAAUAGUAAAAAGAUAUUUACUAAACCAAACUACACACUUGAAUCAGUGGUCUAAGAUCCACAGGUUUAUAUAAGGAUAAAAAGUUAAAAAGAAAACAUUACGAAGGGACGUUUAGUAAAAAAAUAAACAAAAAAAAGCUUUUCGUGAAAAACAAAUAUUUUUUUACCAAAUUUACCUUUAGAGUAAUAUUAAGU